AUGGAGCAUAUUUGUAGUUCAACGAGUGGAAAAGUGACUAGCAUGACAUCUCAAUCAUGGGUUGCCAACAAGGCAGUAGCUAUGUUGAAUAAGGAUCCAACCGUUGGUGCUAUGAAGAUACUUAAAGACUUGCAAGAUGAGCAUCAUGUCACACUUAACUAUCACACAGUGUGGAAAGGCAAACAAAAGGCAGCAACAGGCUUAUAUGGGAGUUGGGAAGAAAGUUUCAGGAUGUUGUACAACUACAAGGCUGAAAUAGAAUUGAGGUCUCCGGGGAGUAUUGUUGAGAUUGAUACGACCACACAUGAAGGUGAAGUGCAUUUCAGCAAGCUAUUUAUCGCUUUUAAGCCUUGCAUAGAUGGUUUUGUGAAUGGAUGUAGGCCAUAUAUUAGCAUAGAUUCAACUCAUUUAAAUGGAAAGUGGAAUGGUCAGCUAGCUGUAGUCACUGCAUUGGAUGGUCACAAUUGGAUGUUCCCGGUGGCGUAUGGCUUUAUUGAGUCUGAAAAUGGAGAUAAUUGGGCUUGGUUCAUGAGUCAAGUGAAGAAGGCAAUAGGGGACCCUCCGGUAUUGGCUGUUUGUACUGAUGCUUGCAAGGGUCUUGAAAAUGCUGUUAAGAAGGUUUUUCCUCAAGCUGAGCAGCGAGAGUGCUUUAGGCAUAUGUGGCAUAAUUUUCAGAAAUAUUUUCAUGGUGAUGUGUUUGGAAGGUUGUGGCCUUCUGCUAGGGCAUAUAGGCCGGAAGAAUAUCAACAUCACAUGGCAAAGGUAGAUGCAUCUGAGAAAGUAUAUCCUUACCUUAGGGAUUACCAUAAUCUGUUAUGGAUGAGGUGCAUGUUCAACCCUGCCAUCAAGUGUGACUACAUAAAUAACAAUCUCGCCGAGUGCUUCAACGCUUGGGUGCGAGAUAUCAAGGACUUGCCGAUUGUUCAGCUAGCUGAUAAGAUUAGAGAGAUGAUUAUGGAACUGUUUGGAAAAAGAAGAAUGAUUGGAGAAAGAUUUACAGGGAUAAUACUUCCAUGUGGGGAAGUGAAAAAUGCUAAAGCAUCAACUGAUUGGAGUGGGGAAGUGAAAAAUGCUAACAAAGAGGAUGAAAGACAUGUGGUCAAAACUCUCACACAUGAGUGUACAUGUCUGCAAUGGCAGCACACGGGCAAGCCUUGCGACCAUGCACUAGCCUUCAUAAAUGUCUUGCAAGCUCGCAACUUUGUUAACAUGGAGGACUAUGUACAUGGUCGGGAACGGCACGGGAUGCCCGUCGUCAUCUCCUCGAACGAGGGCAGAGGCAGGAGGUCAACGCGAGCGGAGGCUCGCUGCGAAGCAGGCGCGAUGCGGCGCUGA
rnacentral:rRNA from 1 species